rnacentral:miRNA from 1 species
UGUGUGUGUGUGUGUGUGGUGGAAUUCAUAUAUAUAUAUAUAUAUAUAUACACACACACACACACACACACACACACAUAUAUAUACACAUUU